GCAAGCCUCUGAGUGUGACCCUCCCUUAUAAAUUAAAAACAUUUUUUUAUAUAUUUAACGCCAUUAUAAAUGCUGGAUGCAAAGCAGGGCUUGCGGUGGAGGCUGACAGCUCAUGACCCUCCGUGUAAAAACCUCACGACCCCCUAAGGGGUCCAACCCCCAGUUUGAGAACCCCUGAUCUAAAGUGCUAUAUUUUAGCCCUCCAG